rnacentral:rRNA from 1 species
AUACGGAGGAUGCGAGAGGGAGAAGGAUUUAUUGGGUUUAAAGGGUGCGCAGGAGGGAUUUUAAGGUAGCGGUGAAAUUUUCAGGCUCAACCUGAACACUGCCGUUGAAACUGGGAUUCUUGAGUAUGGAUGAAGUAGGCGGAAUUCGUUGUGUAGCGGUGACAUGCUUAGAUAUAACGAGGAACUCCGAUUGCGUAGGCAGCUUACUAAGCCAUAACUGACGCUCAAGCACGAAAGCGUGGGGAUCAAACAGGAUUAGAUACCCUGGUAGUCCACGCCGUAAACGAUGAUUACUAGUUGUUUGCGAUAUACCGUAAGUGACUAAGCGAAAGCGAUAAGUAAUCCACCUGGGGAGUACGCCGGCAACGGUGAA